UACGGGGGGGGCAAGCGUUGUUCGGAAUUACUGGGCGUAAAGGGCUCGUAGGCGGCCAAUUAAGUCAGACGUGAAAUCCCUCGGCUUAACCGGGGAACUGCGUCUGAUACUGGAUGGCUUGAAUCCGGGAGAGGGAUGCGGAAUUCCAGGUGUAGCGGUGAAAUGCGUAGAUAUCGGAAGGAACGCCGGUGGCGAAAGCGACGUGCUGGACCUCAUCUGACGCUGAGGCGCGAAAGCCAGGGGAGCAAACGGG
rnacentral:rRNA from 1 species